AUACCUUUCUCGGCCUUUUGGCUAAGAUCAAGUGUAGUAUCUGUUCUUAUCAGUUUAAUAUCUGAUACGUGGCCAUCCCGGUCCAUAUGAUAAAUGAAUUUUUUAGGGAGAGGCCGCCACAGUAGCUUGCUACUGGGCCUCUCGAGCGUCGCUUGGGCGUUGCACUGCAGCCCUUGCCUGGCGCGCCCCAC